GGGGGGGGGGGGGGGGGGGGGGGGGGGGGGGGGGGGGGGGGGGGGGGGGGGGGGGGGGGGGGGGGGGGGGGGGGGGGGGGGGGGGGGGGGCCCCGCGGGCACACGGCUCCACGGGCACACGGCUCCUCGGGCACACGGCUCCUCAGGCACACGGCUCCACAACACAGCCGGCUCCACAGGCACACGGCCGCUCAAGCACACGGCUCCUCAGGCACACGGCUCCACGAGCACACGGCUCCUCGGGCACACGGCCGCUCAGGCACACGGCUCCAUAGCAGAGCCGGCUCCGCGGGCACACGGCUCCACGGGCGCGGUGCCGCGCUGGCGGGCAGCCGCACACACGGGGAGAUGGAAUUUAGAACUGACAAUGAUCAUUUGGCACGAUGCCAAAACAUCAGCAUCAACAUCUAGAAGAAAAUGCCAAAUACAAAAAAAAAAAAAAUAUGAUUUAAUAUCAAGAAAUUGGUUAAGGACAGUGGAACAAAAUCCUUGAUCUUUUCUUCUUAAAAAUGUUAAAUGAUUCUGUGAUAUAUUAUAAGUGUUGUAGCUCCUUUCAGCAAGGUCUGUCCUUCACAACCUGGAUGUAGGUACUGCUCUUCCUGCACGUUAUACAGCCAAAAUGUGAGGAAGGCUUGUGACAGAGGACAGAAUAUAAUAAAGGCCUACAGACCCUGUUCAAGACCCUGUUCCUGCUGUUGUCUACAAAUUCUUUUGUGUCUUUAAUGAAACAGUAUUCCUUGCUGUGAUACACACUGGGAUGCAGCAAUCCUAUCAAUCCACAUCUCCAAAGUGAUGGUGGGUCUCAGCAUGC
rnacentral:lncRNA from 12 species